AUGAUCAAAAUAACUUAUUUUCCAGAUAAAUAUGAGAUUUUUUUAUAUUUUUUUUUCCAAAGGGCCUGGUUUUACAGUCCUAUGAUUUGCUUUCCCAGCUGGAGACAUCUGAAAGAGACCCAAUUUUCAAUAAAUGAUGGUGCCUCGGGGCCAGAAGCAACAUGGUUUCGUUACUAUGUUGCUUGGAUGACUGCUAAUUACUGCUCGCUCUGGAUGUAGGCUUUUGUGAUGUCUCAGCCUCAGUAUGUUGCAGCUCCCGCCCCACAUCCCACAGCCAGAGCAGCAGAAGAUGGAGAAGGCUGUCACUCCUCAUGGCCCUCUGCUGCCUUGGGAGCCAGCCACUGAGAAGCUGCAUCUCAUUACUGCCUCUGGACAGUGCCGAGCCACAUUCAUGGAUGAUGAUUAAUUCAAUGAAUUUGGCAUGCAGAAAUGUAUUGAAAUUGCAUUAUUCCAGUGAAAACACCUGGAUGCCCUUAGGAAACAAAUAUAACAACACUAGUAUUGAGAGAAAAAAGAAUUACUAGGAAUUUCAAAAGGGGGAAAUAAUUCGAAGCCAUAGCUUUUUUAUAUCAGAACCAGCUUGGUAAGCCAGAACCUUUUGUAAUGUUAGCAAAUGCUGACACAUGGAUGACAUGCAGAGUACAUGUUUCCUUUUCUGCUAAGAUAUUAGGGCAGAACUUCCUUUGUUAAACCAACAAGUUCUACUUCAAAAUUAAGUUUUGGCAGAUGUUUUCUACAUCAUCACAAAACAAACAACAAAAAAUAUCAAAAGGAGUUAUACUUGUAAGCCCCUUAAAUUAGAUCAAAAUCUACAAUUCUGACUCACUCCUUCAUCCUCCUGCUUUUUGUUAAGACAAGGCACUGGACAAUUUGUGUGUCACUCAGUUUUCUUGCUUCUCCCUUAAUAAAAUAGAGUAAUAUUGGAAGAUGCA
rnacentral:lncRNA from 1 species